UUCUCGAAUUUAAAAGAGCUAUGGAUUUAAUUGUCAUAAAUUUUUAAAAUUCGUAAUGAAAUGUUAAUAUAUCUAGUUUUUUAAGAAAGUUUAAUUUUUUUCUUUCUUUAGGGAAAAGCUUGAGGUAGGAUUAAUAGUUUUUUUAUAAUUUGUCUAUUAAAAUUUAAAAUUUAAUUUUUUUAGUGAUAAUGAGAGAAUUAGUAUAAAUUAAGAAAAAGGAACUUGGCAAAUAUUUUUCACCUGUUUAUUAAAAACAUGUCCUCUUGCUUAUUAUUUUAGGUCUUGCCUGCCCACUGUGGCCGCGGUAUUUUGACCGUGCUAAGGUAGCAUAAUCAUUAGUUUCUUAAUUAGAAGCUGGAAUGAAUGGUUUGAUGAAAAAAUUACUGUCUCUUUCUUAUUGAACUUGAUUUUUAAGUUAAAAAGCUUAAAUGUUGUUAUUAGACGAGAAGACCCUUUAGAGUUUUAUUUUGGUUGGGGUGAUUGAAAAAUUUAAAUAACUUUUGAUUAUAAGAAAAAAUUACCUAAGGGAUAACAGCGUAAUAUUCUUUAGAGUUCUAAUCGAAAGGAAAGUUUGCGACCUCGAUGUUGGAUUAAAAUUUAUUUUGGUGUAGAAGCU
rnacentral:rRNA from 1 species